UACGUAGGGGGCUAGCGUUGUCCGGAAUCAUUGGGCGUAAAGAGCGUGUAGGCGGUCCGGUAAGUCCGCUGUGAAAGUCGGGGGCUCAACCCUCGAAUGCCGGUGGAUACUGUCGGGCUAGAGUGCGGAAGAGGCGAGUGGAAUUCCUGGUGUAGCGGUGAAAUGCGCAGAUAUCAGGAGGAACACCAGUGGCGAAGGCGGCGAUCUGGGUCGAUACUGACGCUGAGGUGCGAAAGCGUGGGGAGCAAACAGG
rnacentral:rRNA from 1 species